rnacentral:rRNA from 1 species
GACGAGGUGGACAAACGUUAUUCGGAUUUACUGGGCUUAAAGCGUGCGUAGGCGGCUUGUUAAGUCGGGUGUGAAAGCCCUCGGCUCAACCGAGGAAGUGCACUCGAAACUAGCGAGCUUGAGUAUGGAAGAGGGUCGCGGAAUUCCCGGUGUAGAGGUGAAAUUCGUAGAUAUCAGGAGGAACACCGGUGGCGAAGGCGGCGUCCUGGACCAACACUGACACUGAUGAGCGAAAGCCAGGGGAGCAAACGGG